AGAGUUUGAUCCUGGCUCAGAACGAACGCUGGCGGCAGGCUUAACACAUGCAAGUCGAGCGCACUCUUCGGAGUGAGCGGCGGACGGGUUAGUAACGUGUGGGAACGUGCCCUUCUCUAAGGAAUAGCCUCUGGAAACGGAGAGUAAUACCUUAUACGCCCUUCGGGGGAAAGAUUUAUCGGAGAAGGAUCGGCCCGCAUUAGAUUAGAUAGUUGGUGGGGUAAUGGCCUACCAAGUCUACGAUCUAUAGCUGGUUUGAGAGGAUGAUCAGCAACACUGGGACUGAGACACGGCCCAGACUUCUACGGAAGGCAGCAGUGGGGAAUCUUGGACAAUGGGCGCAAGCCUGAUCCAGCCAUGCCGCGUGAGUGAUGAAGGCCUUAGGGUCGUAAAG
rnacentral:rRNA from 1 species